CCUACGGGAGGCAGCAGUGAGGAAUAUUGGUCAAUGGGCUUACGCCUGAACCAGCCAAGUCGCGUGAGGGAAGACUGCCCUAUGGGUUGUAAACCUCUUUUGUCAGGGAGCAACGCCUGCUACGUGUAGCCGGACUGAGAGUACCUGAAGACAAAGCAUCGGCUAACUCCGUGCAAGCAGCCGCGGUAAUACGGGGGAUGCGAGCGUUAGCCGGAUUUAUUGGGUUUAACGGGUGCGUAGGCGGAAUGCCAAGUCAGCGGUAAAAUCGCGGGGCUAAACCUCGCUCCGCAGUUGAACUUGGCGUUCUUGAGUGGGGGAGAGGUAUGCGGAAUGCGUGGUGUAGCGGUGAAAUGCAGAGAUAUCACGCAGAACUCCGAUUGCGAAGGCAGCAUACCGGCGCCCAACUGACGCUGAAGCACGAAAGCGUGGGUAGCGAACAGGAUUAGAUACCCCUGUAGUC
rnacentral:rRNA from 1 species